rnacentral:rRNA from 1 species
AACGAACGCUGGCGGCAGGCCUAACACAUGCAAGUCGAACGCUGCAGCAAUGCAGAGUGGCAGACGGGUGAGUAACGCGUGGGAAUCUUCCUAUCGGUACGGAAUAGCUCAGGGAAACUUGGGGUAAUACCGCAUACGCCCUUCGGGGGAAAGAUUUAUCGCCGAUAGAUGAGCCCGCGUCUGAUUAGCUAGUUGGUGAGGUAAUGGCUCACCAAGGCGACGAUCAGUAGCUGGUCUGAGAGGAUGACCAGCCACACUGGGACUGAGACACGGCCCAGACUCCUACGGGAGGCAGCAGUGGGGAAUAUUGGACAAUGGGCGCAAGCCUGAUCCAGCCAUGCCGCGUGAGUGACGAAGGUCUUCGGAUUGUAAAGCUCUUUUGGCGGGGACGAUAAUGACGGUACCCGCAGAAUAAGCCCCGGCUAACUUCGUG